UACGUAGGGGGCAAGCGUUGUCCGGAAUCAUUGGGCGUAAAGAGCGUGUAGGCGGCCAGAUAAGUCCGCUGUGAAAUCUCGAGGCUCAACUUCGAGCUGUCGGUGGAAACUGUCUGGCUAGAGUCCGGAAGAGGAGAAUGGAAUUCCUGGUGUAGCGGUGAAAUGCGCAGAUAUCAGGAAGAACACCCGUGGCGAAGGCGGUUCUCUGGGACGGUACUGACGCUGAGGUGCGAAAGCGUGGGGAGCAAACAGG
rnacentral:rRNA from 1 species